rnacentral:rRNA from 1 species
GACAGAGGGUGCAAACGUUGUUCGGAAUUACUGGGCGUAAAGCGUGUGUAGGCGGCCAAGCAAGUCGGAUGUGAAAGCCCAGGGCUCAACCCUGGAAGUGCACUCGAUACUGCUAGGCUCGAGUCUCGGAGAGGUUGGUGGAAUUCUUGGUGUAGAGGUGAAAUUCGUAGAUAUCAAGAGGAACACCGGUGGCGAAGGCGGCCAACUGGACGAAGACUGACGCUCAGACACGAAAGCAUGGGGAGCAAACAGG